GGGUAGGCUAUAGGGUAAGGGAAGAUAAGUUUGGGUAGACUAUAGGGUAAGGGAAGAUAGGUUUGGGUAGGCUAUAGGGUAAGGGAAGAUAGGUUUGGGUAGACUAUAGGGUAAGGGAAGAUAGGUUUGGGUAGGCUAUAGGGUAAGGGAAGAUAGGUUAGGCUAGGCUAUAGGGUAAGGGAAGAUAGGUUAGGCUAGGCUAUAGGGUAAGGGAAGAUAGGUUAGGCUAGGCUAUAGGGUAAGGGAAGAUAGGUUAGGCUAGGCUAUAGGGUAAGGGAAGAUAGGUUAGGCUAGGCUAUAGGGUAAGGGAAGAUAGGUUAGGCUAGGCUAUAGGGUAAGGGAAGAUAGGUUAGGCUAGGCUAUAGGGUAAGGGAAGAUAGGUUAGGCUAGGCUAUAGGGUAAGGGAAGAUAGGUUAGGCUAGGCUAUAGGGUAAGGGAAGAUAGGUUAGGC